GCUGCGUCACAACGCUAUCGCGCGCUGCAUCGUCCCGGUAGACCGCAAACGUCUUCUUAUUUUAUUUCCUGUGGGCGGCCGCGAUUAUGAUACUCGAACGAACAUUAUAGGUGGGUGACGGCAGUUCAAAGAUGGCAAAGGAUUUUCAAAAUAGUACAACUAUAACGCAAACGAGUCCAGCGUGGAUGUCACAGCUCUCAAUAAUGAUUUAAUAAUCAUCCAAGUGAACAUGGACCCAUCAGGACUCUUAUCUACAAAACCAUCAGGAAACCUAUACAAACCUACAGCACCCACCUACAAGGAAUAGUAGCGAAGAUCUACAUAUCCAAACCAGAAGGCCUACAAUCAAAUACCCUUAGGACAACUCUAGCCAUGGUACAUCCAUCAUAACGAACCACGCAAGGACCAGCAGUUAGCCUCUGUCAAAGGAAAUAACGCGGCCAUCUCACCGAUGCAAGAGAGACCACCCCAAUGCACUAUAAACAGACACAUACUACACAACCCUAUAGACUCAGAAGGAAACGUCCCUUUGAUCCGGUACGUUAACAUCCAAACUGAUGCACAAGACACCAUCCAGUGGUGUAUACGGACAUCACGGUACAUCUCCGCGCUAAUGCAAUCUACCAUAUAUCCUACUACAAAUGGUAAAAGUGCUCGUAAGAAAAAGCACCUUUCAAU